rnacentral:rRNA from 1 species
GAUGAACGCUGGCGGCGUGCCUAAUACAUGCAAGUCGAGCGAACGGACGAGAAGCUUGCUUCUCUGAUGUUAGCGGCGGACGGGUGAGUAACACGUGGAUAACCUACCUAUAAGACUGGGAUAACUUCGGGAAACCGUAGCUAGUACCGGAUAAUAUUUUGAACCGCAUGGUUCAAAAGUGAAAGACGGUCUUGCUGUCACUUAUAGAUGGAUCCGCGCUGCAUUAGCUAGUUGGUAAGGUAACGGCUUACCAAGGCAACGAUGCAUAGCCGACCUGAGAGGGUGAUCGGCCACACUGGAACUGAGGCACGGUCCAGACUCCUACGGGAGGCAGCAGUAGGGAAUCUUCCGCAAUGGGCGAAAGCCUGACGGAGCAACGCCGCGUGAGUGAUGAAGGUCUUCGGAUCGUAAAACUCUGUUAUUAGGGAAGAACAUAUGUGUAAGUAACUGUGCACAUCUUGACGGUACCUAAUUAGAAAGCCACGGCUAACUACGUG